CGUCCUUUUACGUCGGGAGCGCCGGACGGAUUGUCCAUUACUACGAGCAAUGUCGCCGUUUUGUAGAGGUAUAUCGGAAUGUUUACGUGCAAAUGCCAAGUUGCGUGAGAAAAUUCCAAAGCUUCUGCCACAAUCGUUAAUGGAAAAAUACAUACUCAAAACUUGAGUCAUAUCAGUGGCUUGGGUAUCGAUAAACAACAGUGAAGCUGUAGAUGUCACUGGACGGCUGUUUGGUUUUGAGGCAAUAGUGAGCAUUACAAUAUGCCCAGAGGCCAACUUGCUGGGAAGUGCCUAAAGUGGAUCAAUUUCUGGCUAGUACCGUAAUUGUUUUCCUGUUGCAUGAAAAGCUGAUGAGAACAACCAAGAAAACAACACUGAAAGUUGGGAUUGAGUUGAUUUUUCUUUCUCUUGGUAUUGGAGAUUAGUUAUAUAUAUACUAGGCAAAUAGUUCUGGGUUUCUUCAAAUGGGGAGUUACCUAUUUGGAUUGAAGAGUUACAAUUAAAACAGUUUCUACCAAA